GGUCUGGGCUGGGGUCUGGGCUGGAGGCUGGGCUGGGGUCUGCGGGGCUUCUGUCUGUCACACCUGGUUUUCAGCCCCUCGUCUUUGCGCUGUGCUGCAGUGCUCUUGUAUCAGAAGCGCACGUUUUGCUAGCUAACCUUUAUAAGGAGGCAGCAGGGGGUCAUUUAUUUGAGGUGAAUAUGCUAAAUUCCCUCUCAGCUCCACAAGUUGGAGCACAGCGGCCCUGACUUGUCCAGACUAGUGAUGAUGCCUCGUUAAGAAGCUGAUCGACCCCCAGCAGCUGUUUAGUCAAUGCCGGUGAUGGAUGUAAACAUUUCACCUCCAUCCAGCGCGUGUGGGUGCGUUGCUGCAGCCUGCUUGUGUAGAUGGAGGAGGGAUGGAGAACAGUAUUGAUUUCAUCUUUUUGGAGCCGUGUGUGUUGAUGUGAGUGUGUGUGGAUGCCAGCAGCAGCCUGACACCCUGGUGCGAAUGGCAGCUGCUGUUGAUGGUGAAAACUGGCCAGAGACCAAACACACACUCACGAACACACACAGCAGUUACGGUCGUCAGAUGUCACUGUCAGGAAUGUGUGCUAGGCGAUCGGAUAGUCUUUCUGUGUGUCUGCGCUGGAAAAUGAUCCAUGUUUAGCAGUCAAAUCGAUCGUUUUAACUUGUUUGUCUUUGAUUUAAUGCACUGGAGCAGAGUAAAACAAUAGAUUAGAUAAGCAAAACUGACGGGGUAUUCAGACUAUCAGGGCGGCAGUUUAUUCAGAAAGACUAAUUUAUAGAGUUUAUUCACUACAUUGUAUUGUAAAAACAAAAAAGUAAGAGCUUUACAUGAAUCCUUUCAUUUUACUAAUAUUUGAUGUCCCAAUCAGAUUAAAUAUGCCUCGCGUAAAGACAUUAACACACAAUAAACCGGGCCAUUGGGAAGGAAAUUAAACUAAUACUAAAACGGGAUGGUUCGGUAUAAUCCUAUUACAAUCCAUUUGACAGAUGAUAAUUUGUCUCGUUCAUUACUUUUCAUUUGUUUUUGGGGAAUUCAUAGUCGUAGUUGGGCUGGUUGUUGUACGGCAAGGCAAACACAUUAACCACCCUUUCACUUCAAUUGUUUCUUCAUCCGUGGAGUCUCUUCCCGUGGGUGGUUUCCUCUGGGAAACCGUCUUUGGCUCAGUGAGGUUUCCAGGUGAUUGUGCAUCCAUCACAGUUUGGCUCUCACUAUAUUUCUGUAUAUCAUAACUGCAGGAGUGUUCUUUAGUUGGUACAGCGUUACACUCAUGGCUGAUUUAGUAAUCACAAAAAACUGAUGUACUGUAAGUGGUUGUGCAUUCCACAGUCACAUAUGCUGCUCAUUGUCUGAGUAGCAGGCUAUUAGCAUAGCACAAACACUGGACACAGACAUUAAGAUGUAUGGAAGUGUAGUUUUCAUAAGAUUUAAAAUGGACUUCAUAAAACAAGUAAGUACGUAAAAUGUGACAUAUUUGGAGUGGGAGCAAAGUGACAGGAAUCAAUGAAAGUCUAAAAAAUGACAAGCCGUUCUGGGAAGAAGAUUCUCCCGCGGGUCUAAAGUCAUUUCCAGUCACUGUAAAUGUAAAUGGCUUUAUUGGAUAGUUGGAUUAAAUUCAUUUGCAGAGAGGAUAUUUGGCUCACGUAACUGCAGCCGCUGUUUUCGACCCUCUCUCGUCACAUUUCUGCUUUUUAAUAUUUCAUGUGUCGUGCAUCUGUAGUGAAUUAAAUGUAGUUGUGUUUAACACUAACCACAUGGUGGAUGUGGGGAUACAAAUGAGAAUAGAUCUAGUGUUUUAUCCUAUUUUUAAUCCCACUAUGAGCGUGUUUUAGUAAUGGAAGAGUGCUGUGUUAUGAUAUGAAUCUCCCGUUGUGUUUCUCUGUCUCUUCUUUACUGUUGGACUUGUUAACACAACACAACCUGUGUUUUGACCUUUUUGGAUAAAACUAUGGCUGAUCUCAAUUCCUCCUUUUUGUGGAAUCAGCCAUGUGGAGGAAAUGUCAUUAGCUGGUCAACGGAGAUGGUGUGUAACAAGGUAGUUUACAUAGCUUUGAAGCGGCCUGUACCGAGAUGUGAAUUGCCAUAUGUGGGGAUAUGAAAGAGCUGAAGAAUUAUGCUGUCGGACAUCAAAGGCUGCGUGUGUGUUUCCGCAUUUGUGUUUGUGGGUUCGUUGCAGCGCGCGCCUCGUGUAACUUCUCUGCCAGACAUUUGUCACACUUUGUCUGUGAAUGUGUUCCCAGAAAACUGUCCCUCCUUUUAUCUAUUCUUAGCCAUCUGCCUGCAUGACAGCUCUUCCUCAUUCUGUACCGCAGUCAGUGUGUUGGUGUGUACAGAUCAUGACCACUGAGUGAGUCAGGGAGGUGUUUUCCAAUCACUUUCUGUCUGUGUCAGUCAGAUUGUUAGCGUUUCUAUCAUUUUCAUUUCUUGACUAUCCAGUUGUGAAGACAGUUGUAUACAGGACCAGAUACUGUAUAAAUAUUAUGAACCUCCUCAAUCCCUGAAAACAGAUCUUUACCGGAGCGUUUAUAGCAUCAUAACAGCACUUGUACUCUGACCUGAACUGCAGAAUCGACUCUCACCAAAGCCUCUCUCUGAAGUCCUAAUGUACCUAAAGCCUGAACUAGACGCCUACAAUAUUUGCAGCCUUACUGGAAACCCAUUUUAUUGAUUUACAGUUCCAAUCUAAGGUUGUGCUGAGGUAAACAUAUCAAAUAUUUACAAUAGCUGUACUCACUAAGGCUGUAACAUAGGGAUGUGCAAUGUGCAUUUACAGUCAGUCCAGCAAACCAAAUGGAUUUCCUGUCCAACAUUGACAAUCACAUGUUGUGUGCUACACGUGUGAAUGAGUAACCACCAGGAACGUCGUUCAUUCGACCCAGCUCAUGCCAAAGUCGGCACCCAGGACGCGUUCACAGCAGAAGUGAAAAAUGAUUGGAUUUGUUGUAGCAGUGCUCUCAUGUGACAGCAAUUGGCAGGAACAAAGAGGUGCUUUGGUGACUUUGGUCGUGUGUGUGUGCGUGUGUGUGUGUGUGUGUGUGUGUGUGCUAUGACGUCAUAAUUAAGUGAAUUAAAAUGUCUUAAUUAUUUGACCUUUUUGUAAGUGAUGGGAUCAGUUAAUGUUUGCUGAUAAAUAACCCAUUGAUUUGAUAUUUGAUCAGCUCAGUUACUUGUUUUCUAAUUUAAAAAAGCUAUAGUAUAUAGUCAACAACACCACCUGAAUCACUCAUAAUUUGCUAGACCUUAAUAUUUAGCUGAGAUCUCCAGUUGCUGAGCUAAAGCCUGUACCUGGCAAAUCACCGAGCUCACUCUGAUCUCCCACUCUGCCGGUAAAAAUGCCGACAUGACCCGUUUUCCCAAGAGGGAAAAUACAAUGAAACAAAUGCUUUGUUUCAACACCCAGCUCAGCUUAUCAUGUGGUGGGAUUUCACCACUGCCUCUGUGGGAAAUGGUGCAGAAACAAACGGCCACAGGACAGGAUGUCGUAACAUUAUCCUUCCACUAUUUACAGCCCACUUCACAAACGUCAGAUCACAAUAACUGCUUGUCAUAGCACAGCCUUCUGUACUUGUGGGUUUCGUGUCUUCUGAGCAGCGAUGACACAGCAGACGGUAAUGGUGUAGACGGACACGGGAGAAGGGGAAAGCAUGAGCAGAUAGAAGUGUGUCUCACGUUGCUACUGCUGUGUACUACCUGCAGGGAUAAACAGUGAUCAAAGACCUUUUAUCAUCUGACGCUGCCAGAAUAUAAAACUCUCUAUUCGCCUUUCAGUUAGGACAAAGGGAGCAGAGGGAGAACAGAGGCAGGGAUUAAAAAGAUGGAAACACAAAGAGAGACGGGCAGCGCUUUAAGUCGAAGGUGCGUCGCAGAGAAAUGAAUAAAAAGCGAGAGAAAAUGAUGACAGGGCAAUAGUUACAGAAUAUUACUGUUACUCAUAGCCAGACGUUUAUAUACUAGUAUGUUUAAAAAUAUCACAACCUUAUAUAAACAUAAAAAGGAGUGUUUGAGUUGAUUUGAUGUAUAGUGGAUAUAUUCACCUCCAGGCCCUUGGAGGCCUUUGUGAAUUUUUAACCUUUUAAUCAUAGCCCACAUUUGUUUCCUAUAAACAGCGUACACUGGUCGACAUGCGAGCGGAAGAUAUUUCACAUGGAAACCUCUAUUAUGUUGAGCUGCUUACAGUAAUUGCGUAACCGAGCGAUACAUCACAGUUCAGUACAAUAGUGUUGCUUUCCCCGAGGAAAUUAUAUUUGGAAGGCCAAAACAAAAUAAAUACUGGUUAUACACAACAUUUGGGGCAUUCACUAGGGCCAGCAGUCAUCACAGAGAGAGCACGAAGCUAUUAGUGUUUCAUAUAAUUCAUGAUUUAGAGAAUGGAAAAAAAUUGCACACAGGAUCGAGAGCGAUCUUUACAUUUUUGCACGUUAGCAUGAAAGAAAGUGCUGCAAAUAUUGGUGAACUCCUUGAGCACGCAGCCGCUUCCUGCGCACGAACACCCAGACAGCCAGGAGUCGAACUAGCAACCAGAUAACUGCCUUGCCGAAGUCCGGUGAGGCUGGGACUGUGCCGCGUUGGGCGGCGUCAUGCUGGAGGAGUUACUGAGGGGGCGGCGAGCAGGCAGCACGCUUACAGUCUCUCCUGGAACAUCCUGGAGGUGUUGUACUUAGUUGUGCCAGUUUUACAAUGAAUGAAAACUUAAUUAAAAACCUCAGAGGCGACGUUGGACUCUACUUGUUCUGUUGUUUCUCACCUCUUCGCAGCGAACUAAACCACUAUUACUAAAUUACUACGAAAGCUGUUGAUAUUUUCAUUGUGAAUUCUGAUGCUGCUGCUGCUGUUUGUCAGUUUCUUUGAACCUGAAACUAUAAAUACACGCUGCCUUUGUUAGUUAUUUUAUAUGACCUUUAUUCAGUUCCCAUUAGUGACUGAAGCAUUCACAUUUGCCUUAUUAUCUGUUUAUUGUAGUUCUCUGUCUUCAUUCCCCUCAUUGCUAAAGUAGAUAAAGUAGAUCAGUAUAUCAGCUUCUGGCUACAUGCACCUGCACAAUAGGAAUAUCUGCUCCUUUAUGUUUUAUCCAAACAGACUGUGUUAAAUGCGGUGCAGCGUUCGGCUCAGCCGGCCAGUUCCAAGACACUUAUGAAUUUUCAAGCAGACGAUCAGAGCACCGGUUGUUGAUGAAAAACAAGGGUCACUGACACAGUUUCCCUCUCUCCACUCAUCCUCAGAGUGGAUGAACAGGUAGCCAUGCAUAUUCAUGGCACUUUGUGUGUUGAUGUAUAAAGCUGUAAUUUGCUUUUUAUCCACAGUCCUGGUGCAAAUUUCUACUUCUGGAGAGUUUUAGCGCCACUGGCUGCAAAUCCUCAUUAUUCAACUGCCAAAGCUGUCAAAGAGCUUUCCAGCAAACCUUUUAGUAAACAUGUCAGUUUAAUCUAACCACUGUGUUUAUUGUGAAUGAAACUAGCAGCUUCUUUGAUGAAUGAAUGACUUACCGUAUUUGCUCCAUGAAAAGUCAGUAAAUAAUAUAAUAGCGAUAUUAAUAAAAACAGCUCCCGUGCUGUAAGUUGUACUGAAAAUGCAUGAUCGUGAUGAAGAUUACAAAUAUUGUGACAUGAAUGUAAGCGUAUGAUGCGUUUCUUGUCCAGUAUUCCAUCCCUGAGACACCAACUUCUUCACCUUGGCCAAGAGUUACAGAAAAUCUUUGAGGUGGAGGCUCAGGAUAUUCAAUUUGCACCUACAAAAACAUGAUUGUGAAGCACGGAGCACUAACAGUGACUGUGGGAAGUAAUAGAUAUGAUAAUUGACUUAUCCCAUUAAUUUCUCUCCAAUUCAUAAGGCUGUUUAUGACACCUUAGUGUGUAAUUUGGUCUGCUAUGCAGGUCAGAAUGUUAAUGCGGUACAUUAAUAUGACUUUUUUUUAGCUAAAUACAGAAUUUAUGACUUAAUGAAUUGUUUAAUUGCUUGUUUUACGCCUUUUAUUAUAGACUUAUGGAUUAUGGACACAGUCUUUGGACGCUUGGGGUUAAAAUGAGGUCAACUUGCUGUUGUAAUGAUGAAGGGAGUCUGUGCCUUCCACUCAAACGCGCUGACUAAUGUGUGAGUGCGAGUGUGAGGGUAAGUGUGGGUUAAUCAUGGUGAUAUGGUUUGACUCACUGAUGCACGCUCUCUCUCUCUUCUUUCUGUAUCCAUACAUAUUAAAUGCAGGCGGACGUGUUAGCACAUCCCCCCGUACCUCGUCUGAGUAACGUUGUUCCAGUUGGCUGCUGGUGUGUUUGUGUAUGCGUAUGCAUAUCAGUCAUUUGUGCUAAGAAGUAAGGAGGUUUUGUUGAUCAUGUCUCUUUUUGGAGCAGAGGGAUUUCAGACUGGUCUCUCUCUCCGUUCCUAGCCUUUUCAGGAGUGUUUAAGAGCAUGAGCGAGUGUGUGCGCCGGGGUUUAUUUUGCCCAUAAUGCAGUGUGCUGAGGCAUUAAGGGGGAUUGGCUGACAGGAGCCGCUCCUUAUUAGUCGUCUGGCUGGCUGUAAGAGGCUUUUCCUGCUUGGAAAUGGGCGCUGAAAAAAAGAGGCCAAAAGGCGAAAAACAGAAGAAAAACUGAAAUAAAAAUGUAUCAUUCUGCUGUAAUAGACACGAAGAGAAACCUUGACGCAUCCAACAUUAGUCAAUGACUUUCUUCUUCAUCAGACACUCGUUGUGAAAGGAGGCCUCUUUAACAAAUGAAGGAUUUUUUUUAACAGAUGACCCCCAGUCUCAGUCAUAAGAGGAGAGUUGCUUAUUUAAUGUGACACAUUUCUUUUCACCCAUCUAAACUCACAGGGUCACUGCAGAAGAACUAUAUGCGCCAAGCAUACGGCUGGAAAAGGCAGCCGUAGUAAAUAGAUCAACAAUGCGCCCUCCUGUGCUGUCGCUGUCUGUUUACAUUCCUUACAUGUGCAGGAAAGAGGCACAGGCCUGGAAGAAGCUGUAAAUUUUGUCAAGAUAAACACAAUUCACACUUGUUUCCAUCUGCUGGGUAAUGUAAAUAAAAUAUACUGACCACACACUCGUAUUAAUCAGUUCGCUGUUCUGUUGAAGACAAGAAGGAAGGUGCUGUAUUUCACUAACCGAUUCAUUCUUUGCUAAACUGAUUAAUGGAACCUAAGUAGAAUUAAAUGAAUUAAUAGCACAACUGAUUUUGUGAUGAAAACAUUUAAGAGUCCCCGGCAGCACAGCGGCGCUCCACCCGCUGGGUCCUGUGUCGACCAUGACUUUGAUGGACUCGCUACUGUAUAAAACAUGGCUGUCGGCACCGCCGCCCGUCAACUUGUUUUGAUUUUCAGAUCAGUUAUAGCAGUUUCUACAGCUCAGCAGCACAGGUACAGUACAGUAGGUGUAAAGUCAGGCCCUUAGCCUUUUGACGCCUCGUUAGGUGGCUCUACUGCAAUUUAAUCGUUCUAUUUAACAUGUUCAGUCUCCAGGAGUCCUCCUGUUUCUGUUACUGGCAGAAUACCAGAUUUGUGCCCAUAACAAAAAACUAUUUACAUGUUGUAAAUGUGCAAGAUUAACAAGACCCACGUGCAGCAUCGCUGUAAUUUGCUUUUCAAAUGUGCAUUAAACCUUCUGCUGCAUUUGUUUGCAUAUGUACAGUCUUUACAGAAGCUCAGAUAGUGAUAAAGCAGAGAAUCAACUAAACCCAUCGCAGGAAGAUAACACAAAGCCCGUAGCAUUGGACCUCUAAACCACGGCGCUGCACUAAGAUCAGCAGUCACACCCUCUUGCAUUUGUUGUCUUAAGCAGCGCCUUCUCUUGGCCUUCCAGCGGGCCCAUCUGUCUUGUCCGAGUCGAUAAUGAACCUGUGGAGUCGACCGCUGAGGUGACACUGACUCCAUCACUGUAACUCCAGCUCUCACUCCUAUUAUCUCUUGCUCCUGCAUCAGUUGCAGCUAAAGCAGUGAGAUGCACAUGCAUCUAUAUAACCAAACCUUAAAGCAUGUUAUGGUUGAAAGUGACAAGCUACUACUUCUACAAAAUGAGAUAUUAUAUAAACCAUAUCCCUAUAGAAGACUUAAAAAAGACUUAACUUUGCAGCAGCAGAUUUCUUUGAUUAUUCAGUUAUAGUCAAAUAUUAAUCAGCCACUCUCAGCUCACUUUUUCAGACCUUACUUCUGAUGCCCCAAAUAGUUUUUACUUUUAAUUUUGUGAUUCUCUGCCAGGUGUACUCCUCUGCUAAGAAACUGACGAAGUGGAUGUUCGAUUCAUGCUCAUUGUUUUAUUGUCUGGUGUAAUCACCUUUUUCAUUUCAGAGGUUUUGAUGGAUGAGAAAGAUUCUGUGGCUCUGAUGCCAAAUGCUUGUGUUGACUAAUUUGGUGAAGCGCUGAGCUGCAGCUGCUCCGUCCGCUUCACAUCCAGACGGAGGAAGGAUUCAUUGUGUUGGUCUCCUUCUCUGUUGCGCGGAUGAAGGUAGGAUUACCCAGCACUGAUCAUCUCCCAGCACUUGAGUCCCCACAUCAAAGCACUCUCACACAUACAGUACAUACAUGUCUGGGUAUAAUGUGACUUUAAACCUUCAAACGACUUCCUCUGUUCGUCUCUGUUCGUUCUCAGUAAAACGUUUCAGUUGCUCUCUCCAUUUUGUGUUUCGUCCAUGACUCAAACAGAUGCACUCACGACUCAGCAGACCUCAGCUGCAGAGACACACUAUAAUUAGUGAGACAGCAUCUUUAUCUCACUCUGCUCUGUGUGUGUGUGUGUGUGUGUGUGUGUGUGUGUGUGUGUGUGUGUGUGUCUGUUCUGGCCUAAUUGCCCAGGUUAGAUGAGCAUCGUUAGUAAAUGAUUAAUUUCAUUAGGCAGCUGUAGCCUGUGGUUACAGAGACAGAACACUUACCUUCUUUGUCAAUUUCUCUCGUUAUACUAUAAAGAUUUUAGAUUCUAUCUACAAUUAUUACUAAUUAUUCCCUUUCCCUUUAUCUAUCUUCCAGUACACAUGUUUGGCCUGUGUGCAGUGUGAACAUGGUGCCAGGGCCUCUUUAUCAUGAUGACCAAUGAUUUUUCAGUGUGAGCUUAUGAGGAUUAUGUUGAUGAAAUGGUUGGCUAGUAAAACUUAAGAUCUUUGGUUUGGUACAUCAUAAAACUGGAGGCAGAUCCUCACAAAGGGGCUGUAAAAUGUUAGGAGUAAUCAAUUUUUAGUGUGGGCUGGCCAGCGACUCCGUCCCCAGUUCACUUUGCUGCUCUCUGUGUAUUUUCAUCUUUUAACUAAACCUUUUACUUUCUCUCUCCCUUUCUGUAUCCACGAUUGCUCCCAUUCUGUCUCUGUCGUCUUUCAUCUUCACAUCUUUAUCUACUUUCUCAUUUUCUCUGCUGUCUUCUCUCUGUGUGAGUCUAUUCUAAGAAGUAAAGGUCAGAUACAGAUGCACAGCAUGAAUUUGAUUCCUCCCCCACAUUACAUGCGCCCUCUAACACGCACACACUGACAGACUGUGUAAUUAUGUAGGUGUUGGAGGAAGAUUUGAGGGAGAAGGAGGGAGAGUAUGGGUGAGAAGAGGCCAGCAUCCUUCCUAUGAUCUUGCUCGGGUUCAUGACAUGUAUUAACUGAUUGUAGAGUCACAUAUACACAUUAUUAUCAUUUCCGUGACAUGCUGUUCUUUGAAUCAGUAUGUGCAAAGGUUGUGUUCAAAUCCAAACUUACUUUUCUGAAACAAAUGAAACAAAUUUGACUUGCUUGUUAUGUUUGCUGGCUUGACUGUUUGUGAUUUGGGUGUUACAGCCAAAUAGACCAAGUUAAGACAAGUCUCCUGUUUCCUGUCAGCUGCUUUGAUUAAUAGACUCCAGCUUGUUUUCCCUCAUCACAUUUUAUGUUUUCAUUUCAUCUGAUAGCAAACAAAUAAUCUGCAACAAAUUACAUCAUUCUGCUAGUUAUUGUUUUCUUUUUUAAAUUUGAUUUGAUACUUUGAUUCAUAUGUGAUAUAUCAGUAAUUGCUGAUUGUGUGACAGCUGGCAGCCUCUCCUUUCUUCUAACGCUUUUUGAUGCAGUCCCCCUGCGACAGUCUUUGGUUCAAUUUGCUUUGUCUAUGAGAGCACCCAUUUGCAUGUGUCUAGUGCCUUUGCAUGACUUUAUGCAUAUAUGCUGAGGUUUGCAUCCUAUUUAGGCUCAGCACACCUCUGGAAUGCAUUCAUGCGUUUUAAGGCUCACCCAAAGUCUCAGCGAGCGAGCGGCUUCCCCUGCCCAGACAUGCAGCUCAGAGGAAGACUUUCCAUAAUCCCAGCUUCAGAAAUACUUGGCAUAAAUACGUAAAAUCACUGACGAGCGAGAGCGUCAGCGUUCACUCAGGGUGUUUUGACAGGUGUGAGCACAGAAUGAUGUACAUGAGCUAAAACAGUUUUUGUUUUUAAAUCACAUUUUUUACCUUGCUCCUCGCGAGCAUCAGUAAGUGAUAUCACCCGCAGCGUGCGUGUGUUUGUGUGUGUGUGUGUGUGUGUGUGUGUGUGUGUGUGUGUGUGUGUGUGUGUGUGUGUGUGUGUGUGUGUGUGUGUGUAUUGUUACUGGCAGCUGAUUAAGAGACUGCAGUGUGUUUUCUUUUACAGACUCUGAUCUCCUGUUGUGUUAGCAUUUACAAACACGCCACAGCAACAUUAUCUGGCAAUUAUACUGGUCUUGUUGACAGUUUAUGUGAUGUAUAUACUUACAGCACUGGGCUCCAUAUUUAACACUGGUGAUAGAUCAAUUCAUCCUUUAGCAUUAAAAUGAACCCAAAGCCCUCUUUGCUUUAUCAACUAUGGGCCUGGGCAUCGCUCUGCAGGUUCCUGUCUUAGACGUUUUGCACUUUAACCGAUUGCACAACUGCAGGUUCUUGUUGUAAUUUCUCCUUUCUGUACUUCUGAGGUUUCAUCAUACUUAUUGUGUUUAGACAUUUAUUUUGUUGAGUAUUUAAUGAUAAGAUGGUUUUCUUUUUGCUUAGAUGCAAACAGUGUAUGGCAACGGUUUCAUAGUGUAUCAUCAGAUUCAUUACCAUAAAUACAUUCUAAUCAGU